CGGAGGGAAACCGAGUCUUAAUUGGGCGUUAAGUUGCAGGGUAUAGACCCGAAACCCGGUGAUCUAGCCAUGGGCAGGUUGAAGGUUGGGUAACACUAACUGGAGGACCGAACCGACUAAUGUUGAAAAAUUAGCGGAUGACCUGUGGCUGGGGGUGAAAGGCCAAUCAAACCGGGAGAUAGCUGGUUCUCCCCGAAAGCUAUUUAGGUAGCGCCUCGUGAAUUCAUCUCCGGGGGUAGAGCACUGUUUCGGCUAGGGGGCCAUCCCGGCUUACCAACCCGAUGCAAACUGCGAAUACCGGAGAAUGUUAUCACGGGAGACACACGGCGGGUGCUAACGUCCGUCGUGAAGAGGGAAACAACCCAGACCGCCAGCUAAGGUCCCAAAGUCAUGGUUAAGUGGGAAACGAUGUGGGAAGGCCCAGACAGCCAGGAUGUUGGCUUAGAAGCAGCCAUCAUUUAAAGAAAGCGUAAUAGCUCACUGGUCGAGUCGGCCUGCGCG
rnacentral:rRNA from 1 species